UUUUUUUCUUUUUAGAAAAAGAUUAAAUUAAAUACAAAAAAAUUAAAUAUAAUAAAAUAACAUAAGAUAAAAUGAAAAUCAAAGAAAAAAAAAAGAUAAGACAAAAAAUAAAAAGAGAUCUAUUAUUUAAUCAAUCCGGACGAAAUUGAGUGUUGACACAUCGGUAUCCCCAUAGCACCUCCGAAAGUUCGUCCACCCAUGUGCUCUCACACUCUCCGAGCCGCC
rnacentral:lncRNA from 1 species